rnacentral:rRNA from 1 species
AAGCUGACGGAUCACGCCGGUGAACGAUGAAGGUCUCGGAUCGUAAAGUUCUGUUGUCAGGGAAGAACAGUGCCGUGCGAAUAGAGCGGCACUUGACGGUACCUGACGAGGAAGCCCCGGCUAACUACGUGCCAGCAGCCGCGGUAAUACGUAGGGGGCAAGCGUUGUCCGGAAUUAUUGGGCGUAAAGCGCGCGCAGGCGGUUCCUUAAGUCUGAUGUGAAAGCCCACGGCUCAACCGUGGAGGGUCAUUGGAAACUGGGGAACUUGAGUACAGAAGAGGAGAGUGGAAUUCCACGUGUAGCGGUGAAAUGCGUAGAUAUGUGGAGGAACACCAGUGGCGAAGGCGACUCUCUGGUCUGUAACUGACGCUGAGGCGCGAAAGCGUGGGGAGCAAACAGGAUUAGAUACCCUGGUAGUCCACGCCGUAAACGAUGAGUGCUAGGUGUUAGGGGGCUUCCAACCCUUAGUGCUGAAGUUAACGCAUUAAGCACUCCGCCUGGGGAGUACGGCCUGCAGGCUGAAACUCAAAGGAAUUGACGGGGGCCCGCACAAGCGGUGGAGCAUGUGGUUUAAUUCGGAAGCAACGCGAAGAACCUUACCAGGU